AUAAAAAGCUUCCUUGACAUGGAACUUAUUCUAAAAAAAAAAAUAGAAGCAAACGAGGAAUACCUUACGCUCAGGAGGAGUACAUGUCCGGAAUCUCGUUUUUCAACGAAGUCUGCAAGAGACAUCCAACACCUUAAGGUGACAAGUUCGUCAACCAAAUUUCCCCCUGCCUCUGCAGUUGAAACGUUCUUGACUCCAUGUUUUGAUUAAUAACGACGUGGCAAGAUGUUUGGUAUGUGGUCCUAUGUACGCACUGAGUAACGUCUGAUUCCAUGCACUUGAGGCUCUGCCAACAUUACUGUCAGCACGCGUUUACAAGGCAUAGAGAGAGACUUAUGUAAAGACCGCAGAUUCUGAUGAUGUAAUUUGUGAGCACUUGACGACGGGCCAAAAGGUCACUAAUUUUAGAAGUGGGCGCAAUCUAGGGUCAUUAUUAUAGGAGGAAGUGUGCUUGUAUCUGUGAGUAUGUGUUGUAGUCGAUGUAGCUUCUGUGUAUUUGACUAUUAGUGUUUAAAUAGAAGAAUGAAAAAUAGUUUAGUUUAGUGUUCUGUUUAUUUCGUGUAACUAAAUAUAAAAUAUUUUGAGGUUGUAUCUUUCUCUCCAUAUGUUUUAAAAGAAAUUAAAAACUACAAUUCUAA